GGGGAAUAUUGCACAAUGGGCGAAAGCCUGAUCCAGCAAUGCCGCGUGUGUGAAGAAGGUCUUCGGAUUGUAAAGCACUUUCGACGGGGACGAUGAUGACGGUACCCGUAGAAGAAGCCCCGGCUAACUUCGUGCCAGCAGCCGCGGUAAUACGAAGGGGGCUAGCGUUGCUCGGAAUGACUGGGCGUAAAGGGCGUGUAGGCGGUUUACACAGUCAGAUGUGAAAUCCCCGGGCUUAACCUGGGAGCUGCAUUUGAUACGUGGAGACUAGAGUGUGAGAGAGGGUUGUGGAAUUCCCAGUGUAGAGGUGAAAUUCGUAGAUAUUGGGAAGAACACCGGUGGCGAAGGCGGCAACCUGGCUCAUUACUGACGCUGAGGCGCGAAAGCGUGGGGAGCAAAC
rnacentral:rRNA from 1 species